UUCGCCGGCGGAUGUAGCCAAGUGGAUCAAGGCAGUGGAUUGUGAAUUCACCAUGCGCGGGUUCAAUUCCCGUCG
rnacentral:tRNA from 1 species